rnacentral:lncRNA from 1 species
UGGGCUAGAAACUGAAAAAGCCUGCAGAGCUAGAAUGGGGCAGGGGAUUGACAGAAGGCUUGGUGCAGGAUCACAUGGGGCCAAGCCCACCCCCCACUUAUGUGCAUCCCUGUGAGGACAUAUGGAACCCUAGCAAGAGUAUAUACAGAGAGACAGAGAUGAGGAAGAAGUUAUGUCCAGGACCACCUGUGUCCUGCUCAUCACCAUUCAGAGCCCAUAAUCCAAGGAUGUGGGAUGUCUGCAGUAGGAAUCAGCCCUCCCCACACUUGAUCUCCAGGACUGGAGGAUGACCUACGCAGCCUGCUUCUUACAUGUACCUGUUGUCACAGGGCCCCUGGAGUGCUGGACUUGUUCAGAGGGACUCUUCUGUUGCUGAGAGGGAAACCACCCUCAGGAAUGUUAAUGGAGUCCCACCAUCACAGCCAGAAGACAGCCACCCUUGCCUGGUCACUGUGUUUUGCAUACAAGAGGGUGUGAUGAUGGUUGACCUGUGACAGUGGCUUCUAUUCUCAAGACUCUACUAUGGACAUACUACCAGAACAUGCCACCUUCAGUUACCUGGGGACCUAGUAUUCUGUCACUGGGAUAAGAGCAUGCUAUAUUGUCCUCUGGAUAAGAAUCAUAGGGGUCUUGGAGGGUGAAAUCCUUAGAAUCCAUUUGUACCUCUUGUCCUAGGGAAGAGGCAAGGGGUGGGCUCAGAAGAAGGCAAGUUCAACAUCCCUCAAGUGGGGGAAGCCUGACCUAUGCCUACAGGGAGCUGGUGAGGGACUCUUGGGGAGUCUACUUUCCUCUGCCAGGCCAUAGGCCAGGCAGUGUCCUGUGACCUCCAUCUCAGGCUCUGUGGUUAGCUUUCAGGCCCCAGAUUCAUGAUUGCUCAUCGCCCAAGAAGAUGGGUCUCCUUAUUUCUUUCAGGGAAACCAAGUUACCAGUGAGCCAUGGCUGCUAGGAGACAGAGUUAGGGCUUGAUUGCACGUAGCCUUAGGCCUGGCCUUGUUGGUAGAUACAGCCACCAAAACCAACACUUCCACUGUCUGGCUGGAAUCUUCGUCGUCUGUCCAACUCGGCCCCUUGAAACCAUGAUCACUACCAGCUAGUGUCUUUCAUGGCAAUCCCUAUCAGACACCCAACCAUUCCCUAUCUGGCCGCCAAAAACCCUACUUUUCUCUUGGGUCUUGACAUAACUGGCCCCACAGACAAGCUGCCAUGUUACUACCCUGACUCUACUUCAGUGAACCUCUGUGAGCCUUGUAAGCAAGGAGGAAGGCAAUGGGGACUGCUGAGUAGAAGUGUUUGGGGAGUGGAGAGAGAGCUUGGAGGAGGAGCAGGCAGCAGGAGUCAGAAAGCUGAGGAGAGGAUUUAAUCUGCCACCCCCUUGCAGAGACCCAACUACACAUUGACUUGAAUUCCUAACUCCCAGAGCCCUUUGCUGUGUACUUUAAAAAGCUGUUGUGUUGGUGGGAGUAUGUUACAGUUGC